rnacentral:rRNA from 1 species
GAGUGAACGCUGGCGGCGUGCUUAACACAUGAAAGUCGAGCGAAUUUCAUCAGCUUAUCGCUGAAGUUAGCGGCAGACGGGUGAGUAAUAUUUGGGCAAUCUGCCCUCGAGUGGGAAACAACCGGCCGAAAGGCUGGCUAAUGUCCCAUAAGACCACGGAAUGGCAUCAUUCUGGGGCCAAAGCUCCGCAAGGGGCGCUUGAGGAGGAGCCCGAAUCCUAUCAGCUAGUUGGUGAGGUAACGGCUCACCAAGGCUUUGACGGGUAGCCGGCCUGAAAGGGUGACCGGCCACACUGGCACUGAGACACGGGCCAGACUCCUACGGGAGGCAGCAGUGGGGAAUUUUGGACAAUGGGGGCAACCCUGGUCCAGCGACGCCGCGUGAAGGACGAAGGUCUUCGGAUUGUAAACUUCUUUUGGAGGGGAUGAAUGCCCUGGUGAAAAACCAGGGGUGACAGUACUCUCUGAAUAAGCCACGGCUAACUACGUGCCAGCAGCCGCGGUAAUACGUAGGUGGCAAGCGUUACUCGGAAUCACUAGGCGUAAAGCGCAGGUAGGCGGUUCGGUAAGUCUUUUGUGAAAGCUCCCGGCUCAACUGGGAGAGGUCAAAGGAAACUACCGGGCUAGAAUGUGGUAGAGGAAGCUGGAAUUCCCGGUGUAGCGGUGAAAUGCGUAGAUAUCGGGAGGAACACCUAUGGCGAAAGCAGGCUUCUGGACCAUCAUUGACGCUGAUCUGCGAAAGCUAGGGGAGCAAACAGGAUUAGAUACCCUGGUAGUCCUAGCCCUAAACGAUGCUCAUUAGAUGUGGGAGGUAUCGACCCCUUCCGCGUCGAAGCUAACGCAUUAAAUGAGCCGCCUGGGGAGUACGGCCGCAAAGUGAA